rnacentral:lncRNA from 1 species
CAUCCUCGGCAUUCCUACCAUCAUCCCCCCAUCACCCGCACGCACAAGCCAAUCCAUGCUGAAUUCUUUCAGAACUUGCUUGAGCUCUCUACACAGGAGGGCGAAAAACUUUCUUCAACAGCCGAGAAACACCGAGAGAGUUAGUAAAUGCAACAGGAGAAAAAACAAAAGAUUAUUGUCAUCAAGUUUUGAUUUGCUAACUUACUCUUUCGCGGCCAUGGAAAUGUCCAACCAAUUCAAACAAGUUUUCAAGGUCAUAGACGCGAACGGGGAUGGCAAGAUAUCUUGCCAUGAGCUCAGUGAAGUUCUUCUGUGUCUUGGAUAUGAAAAAUCAAAAGCAGCUUG